AACGAACGCUGGCGGCAGGCUUAACACAUGCAAGUCGAGCGCGUAGCAAUACGAGCGGCAGACGGGUGCGUAACGCGUGGGAAUGUGCCUCUUGGUUCGGAAUAACUCAGGGAAACUUGAGCUAAUACCGGAUAAGCCCUUACGGGGAAAGAUUUAUUGCCGAGAGAGCAGCCCGCGUCUGAUUAGCUAGUAGGUGAGGUAACGGCUCACCUAGGCGACGAUCAGUAGCUGGUCUGAGAGGAUGAUCAGCCACACUGGGACUGAGACACGGCCCAGACUCCUACGGGAGGCAGCAGUGGGGAAUAUUGGACAAUGGGCGCAAGCCUGAUCCAGCCAUGCCGCGUGAGUGAUGAAGGCCUUCGGGUUGUAAAGCUCUUUCGCGAGGGACGAUAAUGACGGUACCUCGACAAGAAGCCCCGGCUAACUUCGUGCCAGCAGCCGCGGUAAUACGAAGGGGGCUAGCGUUGUUCGGAAUCACUGGGCGUAAAGCGCACGUAGGCGGACGAUUAAGUCAGGGGUGAAAGCCUGGAGCUCAACUCCAGAACUGCCUUGAUACUGGUUGUCUUGAGUUUGGAAGAGGUUGGUGGAA
rnacentral:rRNA from 1 species